UGCGUAGGUGGUGCGUUAAGUCUGUCGUGAAAGCCCCGGGCUCAACCUGGGAAUGGCGAUGGAUACUGGCGCGCUAGAGUGCGGUAGAGGAGAGUGGAAUUCCCGGUGUAGCAGUGAAAUGCGUAGAGAUCGGGAGGAACAUCAGUUGCGAAGGCGGCUCUCUGGACCAGCACUGACACUGAGGCACGAAAGCGUGGGGAGCAAACAGGAUUAGAUACCCUGGUAGUCCACGCCCUAAACGAUGCGAACUGGACGUUGGGAGCAACUAGGCUCUCAGUGUCGAAGCUAACGCGUUAAGUUCGCCGCCUGGGGAGUACGGUCGCAAGACUGAA
rnacentral:rRNA from 1 species